rnacentral:rRNA from 1 species
UACGUAGGUGGCGAGCGUUGUCCGGAUUUAUUGGGCGUAAAGGGCGCGCAGGUGGUGCGGUAAGACUGCCGUGAAAUCUCCCGGCUCAACUGGGAGGGGGCGGUGGAGACUGCCGGACUAGAGGCACUCAGAGGCCGGUGGAAUUCCCGGUGUAGUGGUGAAAUGCGUAGAGAUCGGGAGGAACACCAGUGGCGAAGGCGGCGACCUGGACGGACACUGACGCUGAGACGCGAAAGCGUGGGGAGCAAACAGG